UGACGUCGAUUUAAAUUGUAGAAACAGAGAUUUCCACGAACUAUGUUAUAUCAUCAUAUGUAUUGCCUUGACAUAUACACGCAUACAAGCACUGUAUUCAACCUUGAACCACUUACAUACAUUUCACCGAAAUGCGAAGAGUAAACCAUGCAACACAGCUUGCUUAGCCUCGAGUAAUUUAAAGCCAUAAUAAGGAAUUUCCUGUUCAUAACGAACAAACGUCAGGGAAUCUAGAUUUCUCGCAAUUAUGCGGGUAAGAAGCCCGAGUUCGAUCCAGAACUUAAAAAUUACUUUAUUAUACUUUAUUUACAAGAAUAAUUUAUGUGAGUUAGUAAUAAAUAUUUAUUAUAUUUAUAUUUCAAUAUAAUUUACAAAUAAAAAAAAAAUGAAAGAAAAUCACGUUUGAGAAGACUUAAAAUUGUUUAUUUUUAUCAAAUCACACAACAUGAUGUACAAGUCUUAUUUUAAAUGGACAUUGAAAUAGUUUUUCGAAUGUGCAAAUAGUUAUGAAUUCCAUGUAGAUAUUACGGUAGAUACAAGUUUGAUUUGUCGUUUUCCCGGGUUCUCGUUCCUUCAGUUGUGUACAUGUACAGUAUAAAACCUAAUUUACAGCAGUUUAUAAUACUAACGUUACAUAAUAAUUUAAUGCUCGUCUUAAUAAUGCUCGUCGAGAUAUACAGUCCACUUGAACUCUAGUGCGUAGCGAAAUUUUGAGACAGCUAAUUCCCCUGGACAAAUUUUUGUUUUAUAGGCCAAUAUCAAGACGCGUGCAAAUAUAUUUUGACAAAUUCGUUGUUUCGUAAUCGAACAGUAA